GGUGUGCAGUGGCCUGGGUGGGCCAGGGUCGGGGGCCCUGCAGGGCAGUGGAGGCCACCUCGUGACCCCAUCCCGCUGCCCAGAUUGCCAGUGACCACCGAGCUGAAUUCGCGCGCUGUCUGGAGCCGCUGCUGCUGCUGGGGCCACGUCGGGUGGCAGCUGCUGCAAGUGGUGCUAACACGCUGGCAGGGGGCUUAGGCCCCAAGGCGCUGACGGGGCCCCACUGCCCCU
rnacentral:sRNA from 1 species